rnacentral:lncRNA from 1 species
GAGACCAGCCUGACCAACAUGGCAAAACACCGUCUGUACUAAAAAUACAAAAUUAGCCAGGCGUGGUGGCACAUGCCUGUAAUCCCAGCUGCUCGGGAGGCUGUGGCAGGAGAAUUGCUUGAAUCAGGGAGGUGGAGAUUGCAGAGAGCUGAGAUCAUGCCAUUGCACUCCAGCAUGGGUGACAGAGCGAAACUCCAUAAAAAAAAAAAAUGUAAGGGCUUGAAAAUAGUUUAUCAUCAUCAUUAAUUUAUUUCUGUAAACUCUUCCCCUUUCCUCUUUCCUCUUAGCAUAAUUGAACUUCCACAUGGAGGUCUGUUCUACUCCUGAUUCGAGUUUUGUAAAUAAUCUUUGUGGUAUUCUUUUGUGCCAAUGACAGCAGUUUAUUCUUCAGUUGAUCUUUUUGCCUCUUCUUCUUUUCCCCCAGCCAGCUUUCAAUGGUUAUAGAGCUUUAGCCUUCUGUGAAGAUAGAAAAAGCAUUCAUAUACUUUCCUUUGCAGAUCUAUCAUCUCCUUUCCAUUAAAGCAAUCCCUUGAUAUACCACAUACUCGAGUCUUAGUCAUUUCUUUCAAUAUGCAAUGCUGACUUGUUGGCAUAAUUUCAUCUCACUUACACAUUUUCAAACACAUUCUUCUCAACCUGAAGUCUGAGUAAGCUGGUAGCAAUGAAGACAAAAACAGUAUUCACCUUCAAUCACCAUAGUGUCCCAGCCCCUAGCUCAGUGCCAGCCAAAUAAUAAGAACCCACAAAUAUUUGGGUAAUGAAUGAGUAAAUGGGCUGUGUGUUGACAAGAGAGUAGCUGAAACGCUAAACUCAUUUGUUUUUUAGUGACAGUUACUAAGUGGGGAGAAUUCCAGGGGGAAUAAUGAUGGAGGACAGUGUGGAGUCUAAAGCCAAUGUGUGUGUGUGUGUGUGUGCGUGUUUGCGUGCAUGUGUGUGUGAGAGAGAGAGAGAGAUGUUCAGAGAUUAGCAGGAAGUACAGUUCAGAAUCAAAUAGCUUAAAGGAAAAGGAGGGAUUGGGACAUCACCCAUGGUAAAGGGUUCUGAGAAGCUACCCUAUUGAUUCAUAGAGGGUGUUCAGAGUCCCGUGUUUUAGUGACCCCAGUUCCACCUAGACCCAGCUCCAGGCAUAAUAUGUUUGACAAAAUGGCAGGACAGUGAAAGGGUCAUUAAAGUACUUUAUUUGUAUCAUGAAAAGAUUGACUUAUAAAUCUUCAUUAAAUAUUUGCCUUCCUAGCCAGACAUAAGCUCCAUAAAGACAGGCGCUGGCCCUCAGGGAGCAAGUGAACUGGCAUGGUGCCUGGCGCCCAGCAGUUCCUUCAUGAAGAUUUCAGAAUGACCAAGUGAGUUGAAUGCACAGCCCAGGCAUCUGUGUUUUCACACCUCUCCAGGGUCUGUUCCAUUAUUCACGUAGAAAAACCUGUUAACUAUUGUGAAGCAGCCUUGUAUCUGUAGCUGCCACACACUUCUCAAUGACCUUCCCUUUCCAAGUUGAGUUUUGCACCAUGUCAACAAGUGGCAGCUUUCUAGCAUCAAAUUGUUUGUCCAGGGUUAUCAGCAUUACUUUCUUUUCUUGUCCUCACUACAAUACACAUGCCCAUCUCAAAUCAGUUCCAUUGUUACUUAGGUAAUAGUAUUGUAGGGUGUCUUUACUUCAGAAAGAAUGAUAUAUUUAGCAAAUGUUACAGAUAUAGGAGGUUUUAAGUGGGACUAAAUGCAGCAAUUAAUGCUAAUGAGUCUGCUGUUAGCAUGUAAUAUUCUUGGUGUUAUAAUCAUGCAUCACUGAAUGCGAAGCCUCAGUUUGUGCAACAGAUGCCGAUCUUAAUGGCUAUAUUCUCUUCCCAUGGAUAAGCUAGCUUUAGUUAAAUGAAUCAUUAAGAAUAACCAUUUAAAAUGUUAAUGAAAACAGUGAUUAUAACCACCAAGAUUUUUUUUUUAACUUCUGGCUCUAUUACUUUUUAUUUUCGAAAGGACUUUGGGAAGGUAAGAAACUUAUUGCCUGUGUAUGUUGUUUUAAACAGAGAAGGCCGAUACAGUUUCUGUUCACAGCAGCCCUGAGGCCGCAUGCCUGUAUUAUUAACACCAACCGUACUUGGAGACUAACUCUCUUUUGUUCUCAUUUGUCAUUUCUUUUAAAUAUUCAUUUAGGGUAUAAGACAGAAUUGGGUAAGUAGGAUCCUUGACAGUCCAACUAGUUGGUAAACAAAUAUUUUGUCUUCCUGAAAGUAUCAUUAUACUAUCGCAAAUUAAGACUGAAAAGGAAAAAAAUACCAGGAUGUUGAUAUUUAAGAAUAAAUACUUUAUCUUUUCAGAACAACAAUAAGAAGGCUGGUUUAGGCUUUAUCGCUGGAAAAUGGAGUUUGUGAAACAAAGAAGUAAUAGAUGCAUAGCAAGAGCUCAGUGUCCUUCCACAUUGUGUCACCGGUUGUACCCUGAGACAGAUUCUCCAAGUCUUAGAACAUGGAUAUGCAGUGAGAGUGAGGUUUACGUAGAAAAGUCUUUGUGUCUUGGGAGUGCCAUGUGUAUUGAAUGUCUAUGACUCAUGUCUCCCCUUGACUCACUUCUUGGCUGGGCUACAUGACUCAUCAGGCCUGGUAGGUUCAGGGCAGUGUAGCUGGUGGGGAAGGGCUAAGUGAAGAGGGGCUGUCUAGACCUGGGGAGCAUGGUUAUAAUGAGCUUUUUCAAACGUACAACUCAACUCUCUUGCACCUAGGAAGUAUCUUCAUCCAGAAGGAGUUCUCAGUCCUUUUUCUGGUCCUGCAGAGCAAAAGAGGAGAGAGAAAAAGAGAAUGAGUUACAUGGGCCCACUGUAUGUUAUAGCUGACUGCUGAUGGUAUCAGAGAUUUUAACACUGCAGUCAACUGCAGACAAAGCCGCAAUCUUGUGACUUCACAGAGCCUCAUGGGCUUUUGAGUUGACCAACUUGAGAAAAAUUUCUGACUUGAUGCAUGAAAUGAAACGAAGGCAGGUGACACAUAAAGGAAAUGACAAGCAAAUCUCAACCUCACAGGAAGCCAAAAGAAGCUCCUCGAUUCUCUCCCUCUGUUCCAUCUUCACUUUCACUCACAUUAUCACAGUGUUCCAGCCAUAUACCCUCGGUUCUUUCCAAGACAUCGCUGAAUCAAAAUCCAAAGCAGGUAUUCCCAAGGUGGAAUGACUGUGGCUCUGUGCCAUCUCGAAAUCUACUGGUCUCUAAGCACAAACGAACAUUCUCUUAAACUAAUGAAAUGAGUGGCAGGCAGCGUGUGCAGAGCACCAGCAAAGGCUCAGAGGGAUGCCCACAGAGUUCCACCGCAACCGUGCACAGAGGAGGAGGAGAAUGCUCCCUACAGGUGAAAACUAGGCUAAUACACAAUGAUUGAAGACUAAAGGAUGAGAAGAGCCACCAGUGGGGCGCAUUCACAGAGAAACGGUCACAUGAUGAGGCAGCAAGAAGGCAAAAAUUGCGAGCCAACAAGAGAGGCCUCAGAAGAAUCCAACCCUGGUGCCGCCUUCAUUUUAAACUUCCAACAACCCCAGAACUGUGGAAAAAAAUUCUAUUUUUUGUCUGUGGUAUUUUGUUAUGGCAACCCUAGCAAACUAAUACACUGAGCAAACUAAUACAUUAAACAGAAUAUUAAAACGAACAAAACAUACUGUUAUUUUUAGUAUGUGCUAUAGUCUGUAUCUAUUUAUUAUCAUUAAGCUUUUAAAAAUUCUAUGCACACAACAAUUUUGUAGUUAUAGUGUUUUGGGGAAUAAAAGGGAAAAGAUGUUUGAG